rnacentral:rRNA from 1 species
UUGGAGGGCAAGUCUGGUGCCAGCAGCCGCGGUAAUUCCAGCUCCAAUAGCGUAUAUUAAAGUUGUUGCAGUUAAAAAGCUCGUAGUUGAACUUCGGGGUUUACCCAUUGGUCAGGCUUAAUUGUCUGUACUGGUGAGAUAAAUCUCUGCCUUCUGAGGAACUUUCAUGCCAUUUAGUUGGUGUGAUAGGAAAUCAGGACUGUUACUUUGAAAAAAUUAGAGUGUUUAAAGCAGGCUAACGUCUGAAUACAUUAGCAUGGAAUAAUGAAAUAGGACGGAUUGGUUCUAUUUCGUUGGUUUCUAGGAUCACCGUAAUGAUUAAUAGGUAUAGUUGGGGGCAUUAGUAUUCAAUUGUCAGAGGUGAAAUUCUUGGAUUUAUUGAAGACUAACUAUUGCGAAAGCAUUUGCCAAGGAUGUUUUCAUUAAUCAAGAACGAAAGUUAGGGGAUCGAAGACGAUCAGAUACCGUCGUAGUCUUAACCAUAAACUAUGCCGACUAGGGAUCGGACGAAGUUAAUUUUAUAAUGACGCGUUCGGCGCCUUACGGGAAAC